CAGAGCAAGUGUCAUUGUUUCUCUCUCUCCUUCUCGUCGUCUCCCUCCUCUCCUUCUCUUCGUCUUCUCCUUCUCUACUUCUCUGGACAGAGCAGGUGGAAGAUACAUUAAUGUUGUCCCUGCAAUAAGGAUGCUCUUAGUCGACGUCCUUAGUUUCAGUGAAGCUAACCGAAGAGGAGAAGCGCAAUUCUCGUGCUGAGAGGUUAGAUUAGGGUUACGAAAGGCGGUGGUGGCGCAGUCGUACGCGAGGAUCUUUUUCAGGAUCUCGGUGGCAACAAGGGAGAUUUAUCCACGUGAUGUGACGACGGCGGAGUUAAGGGAAGCGGAAAGUGUUUUGAUUAAUCAUAUGACGGGGAAGGAGUAUAGGCUUAAGGCGAUUGGUGAUGCCGGGCCUGUGAUUGAUGCUGGUGGUAUCAUUGCGUAUGCGAGGAAAGCUGGGAUGAUUCCUUCUGCAGCUGCUUGAUUGAUUUCUCCCUGCCAGGAAUGUGAAGACCGUUUAAUAUCUUUGUUAAUCGGGUUCUACCUGUUCUUCACAAAAGGCAUGUAAGAGGGAGUGUGGUGGUUGUGGGUUUGUGGUGAGGAAGGAGAGAGAUGAAGAUAUUGCGCACGUUGUGCCUCCUGUUUUCAGCUUCUGUACAAAGGUACUCGAUGCAAAAGAGCAGAUAGAAGCAAGGGACAUGUACUGGGAAGCUGUGAGUGUUGUUUCUGUUUCAAGUUCUUAUGCUUGUUCUCUAUCUGUUUCAUACUUCAUGUGCGUGUGCUUUGUUGUUCUGUUUUAUGUUUCAUGUUUCAAGUUGUACUGCUUGUUAUGUACUUCAAAUGAUUUUUACUAAGAGACAACAUAAAAGUUUCUACCAAUAAUC